rnacentral:lncRNA from 1 species
AUGCACUUGACUCACCUGCUCCGGCGCGGUCGCCUCCGGCCUCUGCUGACAGCUGGGGGCUUUGUUUUCCCCACCCACUCGGCCCGCCGCGCUCCGCCCCCGCCGCCGCCCGUGACGCGCCGCCCGCCCCCGCCGCGCCUCCGGGAGUCCGCUCCAGACCCGGCCAGCGCCGCCCCCUCCCGGGGGUGCUGGUGCGAGAAGACCCCCGCGGGGCAAGCGGGCGGCGAGACGCGCCGGCCCCAGGUUAAAAAAUUACCAGAGGGGAAUCCUUUGUGAGAGGAGGAUAGAGCAAGACAAGUACCUGCGGUGUGUAAGUGUUUUCUGCCAGAGGACGUGGGGUUCCUGAUGUGGAGCUUCAGAAGAGUGAUGUCUGGGGAUGAGGUGACAGAGAUGACCGCACACCAUCGUCUCCAAAUGACUACAGGUCUGUGUCCAAAAUACUUAACCGCGUAAAUGCCAGAGACACUCUGCCACAUAAGAUGGUUUUGAUUUGGUUUAGCUGCUAUGCUGGAAAGAGAGUAAAAAGCCAGUGCUGUCGCUAAGAGACAUAGACUAAAAUUAUUAACUGCCAAUUUAAAAAUUAAACCUACAGAACAUUAAUGAAGUGGUGGGAUCCUCAACACCCUCCAGCGCAGUCUGUCGCAGGACCAUAGUUAACCUGCUGGUUCCCAGCCAAGCAGAAACCACCCAAGGACAUCCCUGGACUUGGUCUGCAAAUUUCAAGUUAGACCAUUGCUCUUUCGUUUCAGUAAACAAAUACUUCCGCAGCAACGGGCCUAAAGGGAGAGAUGGCUUGGUUUCAAACCCCAAGAGGAUACUAGCUCUGCUUGCGGAGUGAACGCUGUUGAGUUGUGGCAAGGAAGACUCAGCCCAGGGUCCCAGGGAGCUGGCUGAGAAACACUGAGGCCAUUGUCGUUAGAGGCCACAAAAGCGCUGCUGAAAAACCAAGCUUUAAUAUAAAGCCAAAAAUCUCUGCUUGUCGUGGUGUGUUUAUCUGACAUUCAAGUAUGGCAGUCAUUUUUAGCUCUUGCCGCUGUUUAUGCUUAAAGGGAGACCCACAGCCUUGGAACUUCACUAUCUUCUACAAAGACCAAAAGAGAAAAAGACCUCAGCAGUUUCUAUCCAUGUGCCCCUUGGCUUCCUGUCUAAACCUUUGAGCAGGAGAGACGGUGGACAAUGAAGUCUGGGCUUCUUGACCCCAGAACCUACUAAACCUCCUGGACAGUUCUUUCAUAACCAGACAUACAUUUGUAUUUAACUUGGAGGAGGGAGAAAACAUUUCUGUGUCACUGAGUCAUGGCUUCAUACUUAUAUUUUUAUUUUUUAUUUUUGUGGUUCUUGUUGGGCAGUUUCUGUGAACUGUAAUCAUUGGAGUAUGAUCAUUAUGGAGUUCAUCUGAGCUUCUUGGUGAGUAGUUGCAGAAGCCUUCUGUGCAUAGGA